GAGUAAUGUCUGGGAAACUGCCUGAUGGAGGGGGAUAACUACUGGAAACGGUGGCUAAUACCGCAUAACGUCGCAAGACCAAAGAGGGGGACCUUCGGGCCUCUUGCCAUCAGAUGUGCCCAGAUGGGAUUAGCUUGUUGGUGAGGUAACGGCUCACCAAGGCGACGAUCCCUAGCUGGUCUGAGAGGAUGACCAGCCACACUGGAACUGAGACACGGUCCAGACUCCUACGGGAGGCAGCAGUGGGGAAUAUUGCACAAUGGGCGCAAGCCUGAUGCAGCCAUGCCGCGUGUAUGAAGAAGGCCUUCGGGUUGUAAAGUACUUUCAGCGGGGAGGAAGGUGUUGUGGUUAAUAACCGCAGCAAUUGACGUUACCCGCAGAAGAAGCACCGGCUAACUCCGUGCCAGCAGCCGCGGUAAUACGGAGGGUGCAAGCGUUAAUCGGAAUUACUGGGCGUAAAGCGCACGCAGGCGGUCUGUCAAGUCGGAUGUGAAAUCCCCGGGCUCAACCUGGGAACUGCAUUCGAAACUGGCAGGCUUGAGUCUUGUAGAGGGGGGUAGAAUUCCAGGU
rnacentral:rRNA from 1 species